rnacentral:rRNA from 1 species
AUUGAACGCUGGCGGCAGGCUUAACACAUGCAAGUCGAGCGGGGUGAUGGUGCUUGCACUAUCACUUAGCGGCGGACGGGUGAGUAAUGCUUAGGAAUCUGCCUAUUAGUGGGGGACAACAUCUCGAAAGGGAUGCUAAUACCGCAUACGUCCUACGGGAGAAUGCAGGGGAUCACUUGUGACCUUGCGCUAAUAGAUGAGCCUAAGUCGGAUUAGCUAGUUGGUGGGGUAAAGGCCUACCAAGGCGACGCUCUGUAGCGGGUCUGAGAGGAUGAUCCGCCACACUGGGACUGAGAAACGGCCCAGACUCCUACGGGAGGCAGCAGUGGGGAAUAUUGGACAAGGGGGGGAACCCUGAUCCAGCCAUGCCGCGUGUGUGAAGAAGGCCUUAUGGUUGUAAAGCACUUUAAGCGAGGAGGAGGCUCUUUUGGUUAAUACCCAAGAUGAGUGGACGUUACUCGCAGAAUAAGCACCGGCUAACUCUGUGCCAGCAGCCGCCGUAA